rnacentral:rRNA from 1 species
UUUGUUUUUUAAUUAAAAACUAGAAUGAAAGAUUUAACAUUUUAAUUUCUUUAUUAAAUAUAAUAUGUAAAUUUAUAUUAAAUAUAAAAAUAUAUUUUUUAAAAAAAAAGACGACAAGACCCUAUUAAAUUUUACUUAUUGUUUAGCUGGGGCAGCUUUUUAAAUAAAAUUUUAAUUAUAUAUAUAUAUACAAUUAAAAAUCUAAUAUAAUUAAAAUAAUCUAAUUACUAUAGGGAUAACAGCGUUAUAUUUUUUUCAAGUUCAUAUUUAAAAAAAUUUUUGCGACCUCGAUGUUGAAUUAUAUUUCUUUAUUAAUGCAACAAUUAUAAAAGUAGGUCUGUUCGACCUUUAAUAUAUUACAUGAUCU